ensembl:snRNA U6 U6 spliceosomal RNA
GACCUCACUCCUGUAGCUCAUAUAACAACGAUAGAGUAUUACAAAGAAGAUUAGCAUAGCCUGUGUGCAAAGAUGACUCACAGAUUUGUAAAGUUGCCGUAUUUUU